rnacentral:rRNA from 1 species
AUUGAACGCUGGCGGCAGGCCUAACACAUGCAAGUCGAGCGAGCGGGGGACGGGUGAGUAAUGUCUGGGAGACUGCCUGAGGGAGGGGGAGAAAAACAGGAGAAGGGAGCUCAUACCGCACACAAUCAGAGGUGCCCCGAUGGGAGUAGCUAGUAGGUGGGGUAACGGCUCACCUAGUCGACGAUCCCUAGCUGUUCUGAGAGGAUAACCAGCCACACUGGAACUGAGACACGGUCCAGACUCCUACGGGAGGCAGCAGUGGGGAAUAUUGCACAAUGGGCGCAAGCCUGAUGCAGCCAUGCCGCGUGUGUGAAGAAGGCCUUCGGGUUGUAAAGCACUUUCAGCGGGGAUGCGUUACCCGCAGAAGAAGCACCGGCUAACUCCGUGCCAGCAGCCGCGGUAAUAC